rnacentral:rRNA from 1 species
UACAGAGGGUGCGAGCGUUAAUCGGAAUUACUGGGCGUAAAGCGCACGUAGGCGGCUUUGCAAGUCGGGUGUGAAAUCCCCGGGCUCAACCUGGGAACUGCAUCCGAGACUGCUUUUGCUCGAGUAUGGGAGAGGGAAGUGGAAUUUCCGGUGUAGCGGUGAAAUGCGUAGAUAUCGGAAGGAACAUCAGUGGCGAAAGGCGACUUUCCUGGGACCAAUACUGACGCUCAGGUGCGAAAGCGUGGGAGCAAACAGG